UCAUCCAUCUCAUCUUCUUUGUCUCUCCAUCUCCUCUCCAUUUUCCUUAGUUCUUAGUUACAUUCCUUCAUCCAUCUCAUCUUCUUUGUCUCUCCAUUUUCCUCUCCAUUCUCUAGUUCUUAUUGAUAUUCCUUCAUCCAUCUCAUCUUCUUUGUCUCUCCAUUUCCUCUCCAUUUUUCUAGUUCUUAGAUAUAUUCCUUCAUCCAUCUCAUCUUCUUUGUCUCUCCAUCUCCUCUCCAUUUUCCUUAGUUCUUAGUUACAUUCCUUCAUCCAUCUCAUCUUCUUUGUCUCUCCAUUUCCUCUCCAUUUUUCUAGUUCUUAGAUAUAUUCCUUCAUCCAUUUCAUCUUCUUUGUCUCUCCAUCUCCUAGUUCUUAGUUUCAUUUCUUUUCCAUUCUCUAGUUGCAAGUUCCGCGUUUUCAAGCAAAGAGAGGAAGAAGAAGAAGGAGCCGUGAAGACAUAGCCUCCAUCAUCCACCUUGAAGACUUGCUUUCAAGAUUCAAAAUUCCAACGUUCAAGCUCGCCAUCUCCAUCUCCCCUCACAGUGUGUACCCUCAAUCCCCGGUUAGAACGAUCCCUACUUAUUCUAUACUAACGAUGACAUUUUACAGGGUUAAAUUGCGCGCUUACUUUGAGCGUAUCAACCUAUCUUCGGGUUGCUUGUUUAUUAGUAGUGAUUUUAUUAUAAUGAGAAACAAUAUUUUGGCAAUCAUUUCUAAUUGUAAAUAUUUCAUUAUGUAAGAAUAAAGAAAAUGCUUCUAGAGAAUAUGAAAUCUUGUUUUUUCUGCAGGAUGAGAAAAUGUACUAUGAUAGAUGACUCCUAUACCAGGCUGAGGAUGAGCUAUAAGAUUAAAAAUAAAAUUUUGGAUAGCUACUUGAAUGGAAAGAUAGAAAUCAGGUUUUUGGCAAAUUAGAUUAGCUGAAGAAUCAAUAGAAUGGACAGCCUUCACUUGUCCAGAAUGACACUUUUAAUGGUUAGUCAUGCCAUUUGGAUCGAAAAGAUUUUUGGCCUCAUAUGUCAUGUAUAACAGCCUUUGUUUUCUAUUGCAUGUGUAUUUGUUCUUUAGCCACAUGUGUAUACAGAUUUCUAGUUCUAUGCAUGAAGCCUUAUAUUGUA